rnacentral:misc_RNA from 1 species
GCUUACUUCGGACGGCAAAAGCAGUCGGGUCGCGACCAUCAUGGAUCGUAGUUAGGUUGCAGUGAAUCGUGCAUAUGGCGUAUAUAUUACCGCUUAUUCAAUUUCAAUUAAAAAUCUUUAAACGUUAUAUAAAUUUACGAAACCUUUGAAUAGUUAAGUGUUUAACUUUAACACAAGUACUCGUUAUAGGAACAUGGCUGUGAAAAAGUGUUAUUGUGGUAAACUGUCCCAUACCAAAAAAUCGAUUUUUGGAUUAAGUAUGAGUAGCCAAAUAUUGUAUUUACUCUUUGGUCUUGCUUUUAUUGCAUCUGUAUCUGCAGCUGAGACUAAUUGUACCACUGUGAGAGAUAUUUUUAAUAGACGAGGAUUAUUUACAACUUUGGAGCUACAAAAGGAGCCAAAUUCAGUAGGAAGAGGAAGACCGAGGAAUAACUACAUGGGAC